rnacentral:lncRNA from 1 species
CUCUCUCUCUCUACCUCUCUCUACCUCUCUCUCUCUACCUCUCUCUCUCUCUCUACCUCUUCAUCCUCCUCUCCCUUCACCCCUCUCUCCCGGUCCCAUUCCUCUCUCCCUAUUCUGACCUAAUCACAGAUCAUUAGUUGCCAUGACAUUGUGAUUGUUUUUAUAUUAAAUGACUGCUAUCAUAGUUAUAUCAGAUUGUUAUCAGCUGGAUGGUGAAGCCACUAUUUUAUGGACCACAUAUUGAUUGCGACCCAAAUGCCACCCUGUUUUCUAUAUAGUGUACUUGUUUGUCACAUGUUCUCUCACCAGAAGAGUGGUUAGGUCCCAAAUGAGACCCUAUUCCUUAUAUAGUGCACUACUGUUGACCAGAGCCCUAUUCCCUAUAUAGUGCACUUCUUUAGACCAGAGCCCUAUUCCCUAUAUAGUGCACUACUGUUGACCAGAGCCCUAUUCUCUAUAUAUAGUACACUACUUUUGACCAGAGCCCUAUUCCCUAUAUAGUACACUGCUUUAGACCAGAGCCCUAUUCUCUAUAUAUAGUACACUACUUUUGACCAGAGCCCUAUUCCCUAUAUAGUACACUACUUUAGACCAGAGCCCUAUUCCCUAUAUAGUACACUGCUUUAGACCAGAGCCCUAUUCUCUAUAUAUAGUACACUACUGUUGACUAGGGCCCUAUUCCCUAUAUAGUACACUACUGUUGACCAGAGCCCUAUGGGGAAUAGGGGGCCAAUUGGGACGCAGUCUGUAUGUGAAACUGGUCAGUUUUUAAAUGUAUGUUUCUGGGGUUCUUAUUGGUAGUCUGAUUCUCUGAUCAUGUCUGUGGUUGUUAUGGUUACCGUCUGGUCCAGUUCAUACAGACUGUUUUGGUUGUUGUUUCUUUGUUCUGUCCGCUGUUUAUCUCUCUCUCGUUUUGUGGUUUAACUGUCUGUGGUCAGGUUCUGACCAAUCAGAUGGCUCUGUGGUCAGGUUCUGGCCAAUCAGAUGGCUCUGUGGUCAGGUUCUGGCCAAUCAGAUGCCUCUGUGGUGGUGUUGUGACUACUGCUGUCUCAGUACUCCUGGAGGACCCCUGGUGUUUCUGAUAGAUUAACUUCCGUCCAGCCCGGGAUUCAAUCAAAGGCGCAUUGUGGAUUAUUAGCACACCAAAUUAGACUGUUCAAUCUAAUGUAGACUUCAGCUGACAUCCGCAGCGUUUACCAUGAAUACCAUCUCCACGAAGGUCAGAGAAAUGACCUGCUUAAAGGUGCAUUGUGGACAGUGCGCCUUUGGUUGAAUCCCAGCCACGGUCUCAUUCAGACCUGGGACACCAAAUCAUGUAUCAAAUACAUGUCCCAAAAUGGCACCCUAUUCCCUACAUAGUGCACUCCUUUUGACCAGAAUAGCACCCUAUUCCCGAUAUAGUGCACUACAUUUGACCAGAGCCCUAAAAGUAGUCACAGUAUAGGAAAUAGGGAGCAAUUUUGGACAUCAUCAGUGCUUCAAUCCCAAAUGGCUCACUAUGUAGUCUACUACCUUUGACCAGAGGCCAUAGGGGAAUAGGAGGCCAUAGGGGAAUAGGAGGCCAUAGGGGAAUAGGAGGCCAUAGGGGAAUAGGAGGCCAUAGGGGAAUAGGAAGCAUUUGGGAGGCCAUAGGGGAAUAGGAGGCCAUAGGGGAAUAGGAGGCAUUUGGGAGGCCAUAGGGGAAUAGGAGGCCAUAGGGGAAUAGGAGGCCAUAUGGGAAUAGGAGGCCAUAGGGGAAUAGGAGGCAUUUGGGAGGCCAUAGGGGAAUAGGAGGCCAUAGGGGAAUAGUAGGCAUUUGGGAGGCCAUAGGGGAAUAGGAGGCCAUAGGGGAAUAGGAGGCCAUAGGGGAAUAGGAGGCCAUUCAGUGUCUGUCAGCCCUCCAGGUCUAGUUUGACCUUACAUCUCCCUGGUUAAAUGGAACUGGAUUCGUCACUCACUGCUUCUCAAUGUUUUAUGGAGUGUAUGUAUAUUAUUAUAUGAUCACAUUUUAAAACAACUGAUGUGUUGACCUCUAAGUACCCUGUGAACUGUUUGUGUUGAGAAAAAAAUUAAAAUAAAUAGAUUUAUGUAAAAUUUGAUGUUUUGUUGUGUGUUUUUUUUUAACAGACCAAAGUUGACACAGUGUUGUUUUAAAUCAUUUAUAUCAUCUGAAUAGAAAAUGUGAUAACUCUCCAGAAAAACUACUUUCACAGACACCUAGACGGUUGAGAAUAAAGUUGUCUGAACACAGAACAUGUUAACGGUAAACUCUGCAGGUCAACAUUUUGACACAUCUGAACAAACAACCAGUAGAAGCACAUCACACACCUUGUCUACGUCCCAAAUAGCAUCCUAUUCCCUAUAUCGUGCC